GUCUCUUCGUAAUAUUAAUUAUACGGUAUGUAGAGUCGGACCUGCCCGGUGACUAAUAAUUGUUAAACGGCCGCGGUACCCUAACCGUGCAAAGGUAGCAUAAUCAUUUGCCUUUUAAUUGGAGGCUAGUAUGAAUGGUUUGACGAGAGCUAAGCUGUCUCUUUUGAAAUAUUUAAAAAUUAACUUUUAGGUGAAGAGGCCUAAAUUUAUUUAAGGGACAAGAAGACCCUGUUGAGCUUUAGCGGGACUAUAAAUGGGUUUACUUUAAAUAAGUUAUUGUUAUGUACUUAUGUAUAAUUGUAGUUUAUAGUUAAUCUUUAGUUGGGGCGACUGAGGAACAUGGAAAGCUUCCUUUGAGUAUGUAAUAAGGUUUAACUGAAAAUAGGUUGACUUGGAAUGCUGUCAUGUUAUUUUGAUCCAAAUUAUUUUGAUUAAAGGAAAAAGUUACCACAGGGAUAACAGCGUAAUCUUUCUGGAGAGAUCUUAUCGAAAGAAGGGUUUGCGACCUCGAUGUUGGACUAAGAUAUCCUGAGGGUGUAGAAGUUCUCGAAGGUUGGUCUGUUCGACCAUUAAAAUCUU
rnacentral:rRNA from 1 species